rnacentral:rRNA from 1 species
GACAAAGUGACAGGUGGUGCAUGGUUGUCGUCAGCUCGUGUCGUGAGAUGUUGGGUUAAGUCCCGCAACGAGCGCAACCCUUAAGCUUAGUUGCCAUCAUUAAGUUGGGCACUCUAAGUUGACUGCCGGUGACAAACCGGAGGAAGGUGGGGAUGACGUCAAAUCAUCAUGCCCCUUAUGAUUUGGGCUACACACGUGCUACAAUGGACAAUACAAAGGGCAGCGAAACCGCGAGGUCAAGCAAAUCCCAUAAAGUUGUUCUCAGUUCGGAUUGUAGUCUGCAACUCGACUACAUGAAGCUGGAAUCGCUAGUAAUCGUAGAUCAGCAUGCUACGGUGAAUACGUUCCCGGGUCUUGUACACACCGCCCGUC